rnacentral:misc_RNA from 1 species
AAGGAGUCCAACGCCUACGCGAGUAUUUGGGUGGCAAACCCAAGUGCGGAAUGAAAGUAACUUAGAGGUGUGAUCGCGCAAGCGUGCAACAUCGGCCGGUCCUCGCAUUUAUGCUUGGAUCUGAGCGAGAGCGUAGUCGCUGAGACCCGAGAGAUGGUGAACUAUGCCUGAAUAGGGCGAAGCCAGAGGAAACUCUGGUGGAGGCUCGUAGCGGUUCUGACGUGCAAAUCGAUCGUCAAAUUUGGGUAUAGGGGCGAAAGACUAAUCGAACCAUCUAUUAGCUGGUUCCCUC